UACGGAGGGGGCUAGCGUUGUUCGGAAUUACUGGGCGUAAAGCGCACGUAGGCGGCUUUGUAAGUUAGAGGUGAAAGCCUGGGGCUCAACUCCAGAACUGCCUUUAAGACUGCAUCGCUUGAACACGGGAGAGGUGAGUGGAAUUCCGAGUGUAGAGGUGAAAUUCGUAGAUAUUCGGAAGAACACCAGUGGCGAAGGCGGCGCACUGGACCGGUAUUGACGCUGAGGUGCGAAAGCGUGGGGAGCAAACAGG
rnacentral:rRNA from 1 species